GAAUAUGGCAUAUGGCAGGAACCUGCCCAAGAUAACUUAAUGUCAUGAAGAUGAGAAUGGCUCAGUACUGGAAUGGUAUUAGGAUGCUUUUAUGUCUGUAAUGUAGGUAUAAUGUACCUAUCACAGGAAUUAUUGAAUAAGCACAAGUAACAUUGUAAACUUUGAGCCAUAAAACACUAAUACAUGAUAAAAGAGUGCAAAAACUGAAUUAUUGUUGUUUUCAAUUCAUAUACUUAUCUAUUUGUUAAUUCCAGAGCUAAGCAAAAAUAGCAACAAAGAAAUAAUAUUUGUGCAUGCCACUGACAUACCAGACAUAUGUGUAAAAUAGCAUCUGCAAGGCAUGUAUUCUUAUGUAUUUUAUAAAUUCAGAGACUGGAUUUUUGGAUUGAUAGUAGCC
rnacentral:lncRNA from 1 species